ACACUAUUUUCUUUAUUUCAAGUUCCACCAUUUAUGUUUGGUUUAAAUAUUAACUUUUUUAUAUCUCUCUCCAAUUAAUAAACUUAGCAUUCUUUUUCUCCUGGAUAAUAUUUUGGGUAGAAUCUCUACAAGAGUUUCAGUUCUUACAUGUUGACUUGGGUUUUUUGAUUGUUUGCUUUUUUUCCUUUUUUUCUGAGUUAAACAUGGUGUAGGAUGUUUUACUCCUAUAUUGAAGAAAAAGGAAAGGUCUUAUAAUUAACUCAAUGUGUUUGGUAGAAGUCAAGUUUUCUAAGUGACUCAUGAUUGAUCUUUCUGUAAUGGAAUUUACCACCUCUGCAUGGUAUCUUUCUAGUUUAAACUGUAUCUCAGAGAACACUUGUUGGAGAGUUACCACACGUGCUCUUACAAACUUCAAUACUAAGGCUAUGAAAUGCGCAAGGUGUUCUGGAAGUAAUGAUGAUUUGAUUUUAAACAAUAUUUUUCUCGUUAAUCCUAGAAGGUGACUUGAGAAAGGAAAAGGUGCUUGACAGGGCCAAAUAGUUCAAUUUACCGAGGAGUGCUUCCAGAGUAGCAAGGAGAUAAAGGGUAAAGCCAAGUUCAAAGAAAAGAGUGGUUUUGAGAGGGGAAAGCAUGCAGGGGAGGCCCUCUGUGAUAGUGAGUGCACAGAAGGAGUUGAGGUCAUUUGUUGAGAGGAGAAAGAUGCAAAGCUCUUGCAGAUCUAGCUGCCAGAUUCUUUAUUUCCCACACUCUUCUGGAGGCUACUGGUGGUGCAGAUGGCAUGGGAACUGUGUAUGUGCUCUAAGUCUGUUUCACUGCUGUGUGAUGCCACUUAAUUUAAGCCACCUUGAGCAAUGAAUUUGUGUUGAAAUGGACUAUGAAUGCUUGCAUGAUGUCUUGAACAGCUCAAUGAACACCAACAGCUACUUGUUACAAGUUCUUAACCAUCUCCAACUAAAUCAGCCAGAACAUGUCUUUUUAUGCCCUGAGUCUUUUCAGUUUAGUUGUAUGUUUUACAUGUUAAAUUCCUCAGAGAUUUAUAACUGCAUUGUCUAUGAAUUUAAAAUUGUAAGCUAUAUGCAUGUGUGUAUAUGAAUUUAUAGUCCUAACCUACGUAUGUAGGAAUAUAUGGUCAUAUAUACAUAUAAAUCCAGUUUGGACUUAGCAGCUUCACAUUUUUUUCCAGUUAUUUUGAUUUUUUUACAUCUGUGUAGUUGUUAAUAAUGUAGCACUGAUUGUCUACUUGAAGGGGUUUUGAUCAGAGAAUUUAAUUACUUUGGGGAUUUGUUAAGAUGAGAACAGAAGAUGAUACUGGCUUCUAAAUGUUUAUUGGAAAAGCUGCUGGGCUUUUUUUUUUGAUGUUGUAAAUAGGUUUAUUUUGUUUUCAAAAUUUAAAAUGAAGUAGUUAGGCCCAUCAUUUCUGCAGAAGGAUUUGUAAUAACGCUCAAGUAAUUCUAGAGAGAAGGAAAGCAUGGCUUCCUCUAGUUUUUGAUAUAUACAUCUGACUGGAGAGAAAAAUUUAAUUUUUCUUGGAAAACUUCCACUAUUCUUAUAGGUAGAACUGGAAAAUAUUCAGAACGUCAUGUUAAGUAAAUUAAUUUUUCACUUGUAUUCUCAUCAACAUUAAUUAUUACAUAAUGAGAUUGAUGUUUGUUAUGAAUAGUAUAAUUCUUGGUGGCAUAACUCAUUCAUGCUGUUCUGCUGUUCAGAAGCAGUAAAUCUUCUAAAGGAUUGACUUCCAACUUAGGUGGAGGAGGGUCCCAACAAGCAAACAAAAAAUUGCUCAUGGCAUGUUUGAAUCAUUAUGUGGUAAAUUUGUGUUAUUUUCUCACUUAACAGGUAUCACUUGGUUUGCACAAAUGUUAUGUGUACUAUACUGAAUAAGUUAGCAACUAUUUACAUAUUUAUUAUAUUUGUACUUGUAAAUUGACUGUAAAAAAGACCAGCCUGAAAGCUGAACAGUUGGACUUAUCAGUAUGUAGAAACAUUCAUAUCCGAGUAGAUUGAAGGGUUAAUAUGUUCCAUUAGAAUUUUUUGCAAGAAAUGUGAAGCAUUGCUUGACCUACAGUAUUGUAGAGUUUUGUUUUUGUUCUGUUUAUCUUAGUACAUUUGAGCAGAAUAAGCUGUAAGGAAACCUCAGCUGUAACUUAAUGGGAAGUUAGGCACAGUUAUGAGAAGAUUUGCCUUUUACUUGGUUGGUUUUAUUCCAUACAGACUCUAUCUACUAAUAAAAUGCACCUUGAUAAGGUGUUUAUCUUAGCAGACCAAAAAUGUAAGGCUGAGAGUAUCUACAAUAACUCCCUCUGCCUUUGUUUAGUUGUGCUGGCUAUGAAGUUGCUUCAUUCAAUGUUUUCAGGCUGUUCCAAUGGUAAUACGAUGGAAAUUAAUUUACACCAAGUAAAUAGGAAUUUUUGUGCUAUGGCAGUGUGUCCAGGUUAAAUUUAAAAGAUCCUGUUUUAGGAUAUGCAAAAAUAAAAAGCUAACUCCUAACUGCCUUCAUCAGUGUGUCGAUAUAAACAAACAGCGUUGACUGUAAUGACUCAUCUGUCAUACCUCAUUCCCAAAAUAUACACUAAGCCACUCCCGAGUGGCUUAUUUAGUAUUUUAAAAUAUAGAUACAGAUGCAGCAUUGUAGAAUUUUUCUUUUAAGACCUUGGAAAGGCUAAAACAUCUGCAUCGCCUCAACCACUUUUCUCAGCAACUGUGAGGAAUUCUCAAAAUAUCUUCUGGUGAACUCAUUCACACAGCUGUAGCUAUGCCUGAUUACCCAGAUUAAUAUGAGUGAAAGGUAAUGAAAGUCAAAUUUUCCUCUGUGCACACUGUUAUUUUCAUAUACAGCUACUAAUGCAUUUGCCCGCUUUCUUCCAAAGUUUCCUCUCUUUUUCAUUUUUAUUAAUUCAUUUUGUAAAUAAAAUUCACCAAUUGCUUGUGCCUAACAGAAGAGUUCUACAAUUUGCUGCCUCUGUAUUACCUGGAAGGAGACAAGUCUCUUGCACUCUGCUCAAAUGAAAGCUUGAAGCCUUUAUAAGUAAUAUAUAGUAAGUGGCCUGAAAAGUAAUACUUGCAUAUAGUAAUUGGGUUGCUUUCCCUUGCAGCUCAGUUAAGGUUUUCAGUUAAAAAAAAAAAGCCAACAAAAAAAAAAGGGAUUAAUAAC